rnacentral:lncRNA from 1 species
UGGUGAUGGUGAUGAACAUGGCUAAAAUCUCCGGAAUUCCCAGAUCCGCCAUCCGCCGCCACCGACUGUUCCAUUUCCGUCGCAAUUCCCCCAAUUUCCCCAGCCACGAGCUCGCUCGUCAGUCGUUGUAGCUAGCAGAAGUGCAGAAGCGGCGGGGUUUGAAAAUAUACGCGGCUAUUCCGGCUGAGAAAAGGGGCGCUGCCACUGAUGCCGCGUAGCAUUUUAUAAAACUUCCAUUACGUUACUCUCUUUUUC